GUUGCCCAGAACAGAAUCUUAGUUCAACUUUAAACUUACCUCAAAAACCUAAAAUUCCAAUGUAAGUUUAAAAUAUAGUCUAAAAAGGUACAGCUUUUUAGACCUAGGAUACAGCCUUUAUUAGAGAGUAAGCAUAAAUAUAAACCAUAGUUGGCCUAAAAGCAGCCAUCAAUUAAGAAAGCGUUCAAGCUCAACAAUCAAAGCAUCUUAAUGUCAAAAAUAAUGCAACCAACUCCUAACCUAAAACUGGGCUAAUCUAUUUAAUAAUAGAAGCAAUAAUGCUAAUAUGAGUAACAAGAAAUAUUUCUCCCUGCAUAAGCUUAUAUCAGAACGGAUAACCACUGAUAGUUAACAACAAGAUAUAUAUAACCUAACCAUAAACAAAAUAUCAAAUUAAUUGUUAACCCAACACAGGUAUGCAAAUUAGGGAAAGAUUAAAAGAAGUAAAAGGAACUCGGCAAACACAAGCCCCGCCUGUUUACCAAAAACAUCACCUCUAGCAUUUCUAGUAUUAGAGGCACUGCCUGCCCGGUGACGCUAGUUAAACGGCCGCGGUAUCCUG
rnacentral:rRNA from 1 species